rnacentral:rRNA from 1 species
UACGUAGGGUCCGAGCGUUGUCCGGAGUUACUGGGCGUAAAGGGCGCGCAGGCGGCGGUGCUGGCCCGGCGUGAAAGCCCCCGGCUCAACCGGGGAGGGUCGUCGGGGACCGCACCGCUUGAGGGCGGUAGGGGCCGGUGGAAUGCCUGGUGUAGUGGUGAAAUGCGUAGAGAUCAGGCAGAACACCUGGGGCGAAGGCGGCCGGCUGGGCCGACCCUGACGCUGAGGCGCGAAGGCGUGGGGAGCGAACGGG